rnacentral:rRNA from 1 species
UGCCAGACUCCUACGGGAGGCAGCAGUGAGGAAUAUUGGUCAAUGGUCGGGAGACUGAACCAGCCAAGUCGCGUGAGGGAUUAAGGCCCUAUGGGUCGUAAACCUCUUUUGUCAGGGAGCAAUGGCGUCCACGUGUGGGCGUAUGGAGAGUACCUGAAGAAAAAGCAUCGGCUAACUCCGUGCCAGCAGCCGCGGUAAUACGGAGGAUGCGAGCGUUAUCCGGAUUUAUUGGGUUUAAAGGGUGCGCAGGCGGAGGUGCAAGUCAGCGGUCAAAUUGCGGGGCUCAACCCCGUACUGCCGUUGAAACUGCAUCCCUUGAGUGCGCGAGAAGUAUGCGGAAUGCGUGGUGUAGCGGUGAAAUGCAUAGAUAUCACGCAGAACUCCGAUUGCG